rnacentral:misc_RNA from 1 species
UUUUUCUGGCCUCGAUGAAGCCCGCCUCUCCCUUCGCUCCGUCAUUUGCAUUGCAGACUUCCUUUCCUCAUCGACUCUUUGAACGCACAUUGCGCCCGCCAGUAUUCUGGCGGGCAUGCCUGUCCGAGCGUCAUUUCAACCCUCGAACCCCUCCGGGGGGUCGGCGUUGGGGACUUCGGGAACCCCUAAGACGGGAUCCCGGCCCCUAAAGACAGUGGCGGUCUCGCCGCAGCCUCUCCUGCGCAGUAGUUUGCACAACUCGCACCGGGAGCGCGGCGCGGCCACGUCCGUAAAACACCCAACUUCUGAAAUGUUGACCUCGGAUCAGGUAGGAAUACCCGCUGA